GCUGGGCACAGUGGCACACACCUUAGUUCCAGCUACUCAGGAGGCUGUCGCGGGAGGAUGGCUUGAGCCCAGGAGCUCUGGGCUGCAGUGCGCUAUGCCGAUCGGGUGUCCGCACUAAGUUCUGCAUCAAUAUGGUGACCUCCCAGGAGUGGGGGACCACCAGGUUGCCUAAGGAGGGGUAAAUUGGCCCAGGCUGGAAAAGGAGCAGGUCAAAACUCCUGUGCUGAUCAGCAGUGGGGUGGCGCCUGUGAGCAGUCACUGCACUCCAGCCCAGUGAAGAUCUUGUA
rnacentral:SRP_RNA from 1 species